UGUUGGACGGCUCUACGUAUUACAGACUCAUAUUGAGUUUACUCAAAAUUAAUUUAUAAGUUUUUAAGUUGAUAUAAAUAGGUAACAUUAUUGCUAAUGGUGCCAAGCAUUUUGCAUAAAAUGAGUUACAGCGGCAAAGUUGGAAGUGGAGUGAGUAUACUGGCGUGUUGAGCUAACUUUGACGAAUUUUUAUGAGCAAAUCUAACUGAUACGCCAUGUAGUUACCGUGGAAAUUUUUGAAUUUGCAAAUACUUAACGAGAAUGGGAAUACAUCCAUACACAGGAAAGUUGAAUCGAAGUAAAUAUUAAACUAUUGAGGAAAGUACAGUAUUAUAAAACAAGGACAGUAACGUGAUCGCAUAACAAAAUUUUAUUGCUUUUUUUAUAGAUUUAAAAUAUGUUAAUAGAAGCAUGGAAAAUAAAACAUUGUUAAAAGUAAAAAUAAUAAAUGUAUUGUAUGACAUAAA